rnacentral:rRNA from 1 species
CAGUAGCCACGGUAAUACGGAGGGUGCAAGCGUUAAUCGGAAUUACUGGGCGUAAAGCGCACGCAGGCGGUCUGUCAAGUCAGAUGUGAAAUCCCCGGGCUUAACCUGGGAACUGCAUUUGAAACUGGCAGACUGGAGUCUUGUAGAGGGGGGUAGAAUUCCAGGUGUAGCGGUGAAAUGCGUAGAGAUCUGGAGGAAUACCGGUGGCGAAGGCGGCCCCCUGGACAAAGACUGACGCUCAGGUGCGAAAGCGUGGGGAGCAAACAGGAUUAGAUACCCCGGUAGUCCCUGUCUCUUAUAC